rnacentral:rRNA from 1 species
GACGAACGCUGGCGGCGUGCUUAACACAUGCAAGUCGAACGGAAAGGCCCUGCUUUUGUGGGGUGCUCGAGUGGCGAACGGGUGAGUAACACGUGAGUAACCUGCCCUUGACUUUGGGAUAACUUCAGGAAACUGGGGCGAAUACCGGAUAGGAGCUCCUGCUGCAUGGUGGGGGUUGGAAAGUUUCGGCGGUUGGGGAUGGACUCGCGGCUUAUCAGCUUGUUGGUGGGGUAGUGGCUUACCAAGGCUUUGACGGGUAGCCGGCCUGAGAGGGUGACCGGCCACAUUGGGACUGCGAUACGGCCCAGACUCCUACGGGAGGCAGCAGUGGGGAAUAUGGCACAAUGGGCGGAAGCCUGAUGCAGCAACGCCGCGUGCGGGAUGACGGCCUUCGGGUUGUAAACCGCUUUCGCCUGUGACGAAGCGUGAGUGACGGUAAUGGGUAAAGAAGCACCGGCUAACUACGUG